UGGAGGAAAGUAGGGGAUCGAAAGACCUUAUGCUUUUGGAGCGGCCGAUGUCUGAUUAGCUAGUUGGUAAGGUAAUGGCUUACCAAGGCAACGAUCAGUAGUUGGUCUGAGAGGACGACCAGCCACACUGGGACUGAGACACGGCCCAGACUCCUACGGGAGGCAGCAGUGGGGAAUUUUGGACAAUGGGCGCAAGCCUGAUCCAGCAAUGCCGCGUGAGUGAAGAAGGCCUUCGGGUUGUAAAGCUCUUUCAGUUGAGAAGAAAAGAUUGUGACUAAUAAUUGCAAUUCAUGACGGUAUCAACAGAAGAAGCACCGGCUAACUACGUGCCAGCAGCCGCGGUAAUACGUAGGGUGCGAGCGUUAAUCGGAAUUACUGGGCGUAAAGGGUGCGCAGGCGGUUCUGUAAGUCAGAUGUGAAAUCCCCGGGCUUAACCUGGGAACUGCGUUGAAACUACAAGGCUAGG
rnacentral:rRNA from 1 species